rnacentral:rRNA from 1 species
UACGUAGGGGGCGAGCGUUGUCCGGAAUCAUUGGGCGUAAAGAGCGUGUAGGCGGCUUGGCAAGUCUGACGUGAAAGCCCGCGGCUCAACCGCGGAUUGUCGUUGGAAACUGCCUCGCUAGAGUCCGGAAGAGGAGAGCGGAAUUCCUGGUGUAGCGGUGGAAUGCGCAGAUAUCAGGUAGAACACCCGUGGCGAAGGCGGCUCUCUGGGACGGUACUGACGCUGAGACGCGAAAGCGUGGGGAGCGAACAGG